rnacentral:rRNA from 1 species
AUUGAACGCUAGCGGGAUGCUUUACACAUGCAAGUCGAACGGCAGCGCGGACUUCGGUCUGGCGGCGAGUGGCGAACGGGUGAGUAAUGUAUCGGAACGUGCCCAGUAGCGGGGGAUAACUACGCGAAAGCGUAGCUAAUACCGCAUACACCCUACGGGGGAAAGCAGGGGAUCGUAAGACCUUGCACUAUUGGAGCGGCCGAUAUCGGAUUAGCUAGUUGGUGAGGUAACGGCUCACCAAGGCGACGAUCCGUAGCUAGUUUGAGAGGACGACCAGCCACACUGGGACUGAGACACGGCCCAGACUCCUACGGGAGGCAGCAGUGGGGAAUUUUGGACAAUGGGGGCAACCCUGAUCCAGCCAUCCCGCGUGUGCGAUGAAGGCCUUCGGGUUGUAAAGCACUUUUGGCAGGAAAGAAACGUCGCGGGCUAAUACCCCGUGGAACUGACGGUACCUGCAGAAUAAGCACCGGCUAACUACGUG